UGCUGCUGCUGCAGCUGUUUUGUGUCCGACUCUUCACAAUCCCAUGGACUGCAGCAUUCCAGGCCUCCCUGUCCCUCACCAUCUGCUGAAGUUUGCCUAAGUUUAUGGCCAUUGCAUUGGUGAUGCCAUCUAGCCAUCUCAUCCUCUGUCGUCCCCUUCUCCUCCUGCCCUCAAUCUUUCCCAGUAUCAGGGUCUUUUCCAACGAGUCAGCUGUUCGUGUCA